ensembl:snRNA U5 U5 spliceosomal RNA
CUCUUGGACUUGUCUUCAUCACGUACAAAUCUUUCACCUUUUACUAAAGAUUUUCAUGGAGAGAGGCAUCAACGAGCUCACAAUAUGGGCUCAGUUUCGAGGCA